rnacentral:misc_RNA from 1 species
AAGUCGUAACAAGGUUUCCGUAGGUGAACCUGCGGAAGGAUCAUCAAUAGUUCCAAUACCUAAAAUACCUUCUUGUGAACUGUGUAUUUGUUGUUAGUACGGUUGGGGAAGAUUUGUGUUGUUGUUUUGUUAUUGUUGUAAUGACGGUGAUAAUGACGGCAGCUGCUUCCUCACCGUCAUGUAUUAUCAUGAACUCUGUUAAUUAUUAUUUAGUCUGACAUAUAAAGUUGUAUGUGUGUGUGUGUGUGUGUAAUUGCUUUGCAUUUAUACUACUAUUACUACCACGUAUAUAUAUAUUUAAUAAUAUAAUACAACUUGCAGCGAUGGAUCUCUAGGCUCUG